rnacentral:rRNA from 1 species
GAUGAACGCUGGCGGCGUGCCUAAUACAUGCGAGUCGAGCGAACAGAUGAGGAGCUUGCUCCUCUGACGUUAGCGGCGGACGGGUGAGUAACACGUGGAUAACCUACCUAUAAGACUGGGAUAACUUCGGGAAACCGGAGCUAAUACCGGAUAAUAUAUUGAACCGCAUGGUUCAAUAGUGAAAGACGGUUUUGCUGUCACUUAUAGAUGGAUCCGCGCCGCAUUAGCUAGUUGGUAAGGUAACGGCUUACCAAGGCAACGAUGCGUAGCCGACCUGAGAGGGUGGUCGGCCACACUGGAACUGAGACACGGUCCAGACUCCUACGGGAGGCAGCAGUAGGGAAUCUUCCGCAAUGGGCGAAAGCUUGACGGAGCAACGCCGCGUGAGUGAUGAAGGUCUUCGGAUCGUAAAACUCUGUUAUUAGGGAAGAACAAAUGUGUAAGUAACUAUGCACGUCUUGACGGUACCUAAUCAGAAAGCCACGGCUAACUACGUG